rnacentral:rRNA from 1 species
CCUACGGGAGGCAGCAGUGGGGAAUCCUGCGCAAUGGGGGAAACCCUGACGCAGCAACGCCGCGUGGAGGAUGAAGCCCUUUGGGGCGUAAACUCCUUUCGACCGGGACGAUAAUGACAGUACCGGUGGAAGAAGCACCGGCUAACUCUGUGCCAGCAGCCGCGGUAAU